AUGAAUUAUGCUUAUGGAGAUCAACUUGAUAUAGUUCCUUAUGUUAAACAUGAAAUUGUUGCUAUUUCACCCAUGCAUGAUAGUCCUAUUAUCUUUUUGAAUUCUCCCGACUACACUAUAUCGGAGAAGUUUGCACUUAUUAAGGAUUAUAUUGAUGGGUUCCCUUUUACCGUUGCACAUGAUGAUUUUGAUAGAUAUAAUAUGCAUGUGCUUGCUGCUCCUACUUGCAAUUAUUAUGAGAGAGUAACUAUAUCUCCACCUCUCUAUGUUUCCAAUACGAUAAAAUUGCAAGAAACUAUUUAUACUAUGCACUGGCCUUUACUAGGUGUGCAUGAAUUGUUCUUUUAUGUCAUGCCGAUGCAUAGAAAGAGAGUUAGACUUCGCCAUUGCUUGAUAUAUGUUGCUUUGUGCUCACUACUAAAUUACAAAUCAUUUUUAAUUAAAAUUGGCUUUGAUAUACCUUGGGAUCCGGGUGGAUUCACUACUUGA
rnacentral:rRNA from 1 species